rnacentral:rRNA from 1 species
AACGAACGCUGGCGGCAUGCCUAACACAUGCAAGUCGAACGAGACCUUCGGGUCUAGUGGCGCACGGGUGCGUAACGCGUGGGAACCUGCCCUUAGGUUCGGAAUAACUCCCCGAAAGGGGUGCUAAUACCGGAUAAUGUCUUCGGACCAAAGAUUUAUCGCCUUUGGAGGGGCCCGCGUUGGUUUAGCUAGUUGGUAGGGUAAAAGCCUACCAAGGCGACGAUCCAUAGCUGGUCUGAGAGGAUGAGCAGCCACACUGGGACUGAGACACGGCCCAGACUCCUACGGGAGGCAGCAGUGGGGAAUAUUGGACAAUGGGCGAAAGCCUGAUCCAGCAAGGCCGCGUGAGUGAUGAAGGCCUUAGGGUUGUAAAGCUCUUUUACCCGGGAUGAUAAUGACAGUACCGGGAGAAUAAGCUCCGGCUAACUCCGUG